rnacentral:rRNA from 1 species
AACGAACGCUGGCGGCAUGCCUAACACAUGCAAGUCGAACGAGACCUUCGGGUCUAGUGGCGCUUGGGUGCGUAACGCGUGGGAACCUGCCCUUAGGUUCGGAAUAACUCUCCGAAAGGGGUGCUAAUACAGGAUAAUGUCUUCGGACCAAAGAUUUAUCGCCUUUGGAUGGGCCCGCGUUGGAUUAGCUAUUUGGUAGUGUAAAAGCCUACCAGGGCGUCGAUCGAUAGCUGGUCUGAGAGGAUCAUCAGCCACACUUGGUCUGAGACGCGGCCAAGACUCCUAGACGAGGGGGCAGAGGCUGAUAUUGGACAAUGGGCGAGGUGAAGAAGCAGCUCGGGCGCGUGAGUGAUGAUGUCGUUAGGGUUGUACAGCUCUUUUACCCGGGAUUGUAAUGACGGUACCGAGAGAAUAAGCUCCGGCUAACUCCGUG